AGUUUCUCUAGGUUCAAAAGAAAGAGGAGUGAAGAGGAGUAAAACACACAUCUAUUAAAAAGCAAGAAGAUUAAAUAAAUUGAAGCUUUUUAUUUCUCUUUCUCUGCCUAAGGACCCAGUGGCUGUCUUGAUGUCUCACAGCAGGAAGAGACUCUCUCAAAUAGGUGUACACAUGGGGAGAGAGAGAGCAAGGAGACUGAGAUACAAUCAGCCACCAGCAAGUUGUCUUGAUUUUCUGAAUGGAGCGUGGUAGCAUGUUAUAGAGUCCAAGGAAUUUGCCAAAUCCGUGUGAGAAGAUUUGCCUCUCACAUGUGAGAGAAUUUUUUGAGAAAAAAAAGAUCCUGACCCCGUCCCUCUGCCACCACCCGAGUGAGGAAGACUGACAGAGCACAUUGGCUUGCUGUGGAGACAAGAUCAGGGAAAGCGCCCCUGAAAAGAAAGCAUUUUGGAAGUCCUGAAGGUGGAGAAGGAGAUUUAGAGGAAGAGUGAUAAAUCAGAAGUCUUCGUCCAAGAAUUAGCUUUGCACCAUCUACAGACCUAAGCAGCUGCAGUCCUGGAACUGUGUGAUAACUUGCCCAGAAAAUCUUCUUGUGGAAUCUGUCUUUACAUGGAAAAGACUUGGCAAUAUUUGUACAGCAACUGGAAGAAAGGUCUUUGCUGAGAUAUACAAAGAGGCAGAAUGUGUGUGGAUCACCGAUUAGACAAGGCGAAUAGGAGCAGAAUAGAAGAGGAAUGGAAUAGAACUCAAGAUGAUAAAACAUACUGUGUCCAGAAUUUAUUCCUUCCAGUGGGCUGUUGGUCUCACUGACUUUAAGAAUGAAGCUGCGGACCCUCGUG
rnacentral:lncRNA from 1 species